UUUAUCAUCUUUGACUAUUAUUGCCCCCAAAUCCACCAACUACACCAUCCUUUUUAUUCAACGUACAUUAAUUAAAUUAUAUACAGAGCACCUUGAUCAUCACCGCCGGCCAUUGAACAUACCUCUCUCUCUCUCUCUCUCUCUGUGUGAGACUUGAGGACUUGUACAGAGAUCAUGGAUUACAUGAUUGAAGUAAAUCACCAGAGGAUCAAAACCAAUGGAAUUUGGCUGCAUGUAGCAGAAAAAGGAACAGGUCCUCUUGUUCUCUUGCUUCAUGGCUUCCCAGAACUCUGGUAUGCUUGGCGCCACCAGAUCAACCACUUGGCCGAGAAUGGCUACCAUGUGGUGGCGCCUGACUUGAGAGGCUAUGGUGACUCUGACUCUCCUCUCAACCCCAACUCCUACACCAUUUUACACAUAGUUGGAGACCUUGUCGGCCUACUUGACCAUUUUGGUCAACAGAAGGCAUAUGUUGUGGGGCAUGACUGGGGAGCGGUUGCUGGGUGGCAUUUGAGCUUGUUUAGGCCUGAUAGAGUGAUAGGGCUGGUAAAUCUAUCUGUUCCAUACUUUCCAAGAUCUCCAACAACUAAAACUACAGAAGCAAUCAGAGAAUUGUAUGGAGAUGGAACUCAUGUCAUUCAAUUCCAGGUACCUCCUUAAUUUCUCUCCACAAUUCUUGUAUGCAUAUGUAUAUGUGUAUGUAAGGAACCAGGAAUAACCGACAACAUGAUAGCUCCUCCGGACAUGGAAUUUAUUGAUUUCCUGGACACAAAAUCAGCAUUGCCAGCAUGGCUAACUGAAGAGGAUAUCCGGGUCUUCGCUGAAAAAUUUGAGGAAUCUGGAUUCACUGGUCCUUUUAACUACUAUCGUGCAAUGGACUUGAGUUGGGAGCUUCUUGCACCCUGGCAAGGAUCGAAAAUUACGGUACCUGUGAAGUUCAUGAUUGGUGACAAAGAUUUCGGCUUUAAGUCAGAUGGAAGAAGUGAAUAUGUGCUAGGUGAUGAUUUCAGGAGUCUUGUCCCCAACCUUGAAGUGGUUGUUAUAGGCGGCCACCAUUUCAUAGAGCAAGAGAACCCUCAAGAAGUCUCCAGCCAAAUACUUUCCUUCCUGCGUGAACAUCCUGUAGAUCAAUGAAAUUGUUUAGUGUGCUUCUGAAUAAAUCCCAAAUGGUUUGUGGGGUACAUUGAACCAAUAUGGGGUUCAAUUAGAACCAUCAUUUUCUUUGUUCUGUAUCAGGGUUGGAUGAUUUUCUGUGCUUUGGGUUUGUUCUUUCUUCUUCUUAAGGCAUUUAGAAAUUCUGUUUAUAACCUAAUGUGAUAGCCUCUUUGAUAUGGGGAAUUACACUUGGCAUGCCAAAUUAACUA